rnacentral:rRNA from 1 species
UACGGAGGGUGCAAGCGUUAUCCGGAUUCACUGGGUUUAAAGGGUGUGUAGGCGGGCUGUUAAGUCAGUGGUGAAAUCUCCGGGCUCAACCCGGAAACUGCCAUUGAUACUAUCAGUCUUGAAUUUUGUUGAGGUAGGCGGAAUAUAUCAUGUAGCGGUGAAAUGCUUAGAUAUGAUAUAGAACACCGAUUGCGAAGGCAGCUUACUAAGCAAAUAUUGACGCUGAGGCACGAAAGCGUGGGGAUCAAACAGGA